rnacentral:rRNA from 1 species
CUAACACAUGCAAGUCGAACGGAGCUUAGAGAGCUUGCUUUUUAAGCUUAGUGGCGAACGGGUGAGUAACGCGUGAGUAACCUGCCCUAGAGUGGGGGACAACAGUUGGAAACGACUGCUAAUACCGCAUAAGCCCACGGUACCGCAUGGUACUGAGGGAAAAGGAAUUAUUCGCUUUAGGAUGGACUCGCGUCCAAUUAGCUAGUUGGUGAGGUAACGGCCCACCAAGGCGACGAUUGGUAGCCGGACUGAGAGGUUGAACGGCCACAUUGGGACUGAGACACGGCCCAGACUCCUACGGGAGGCAGCAGUGGGGGAUAUUGCACAAUGGGGGAAACCCUGAUGCAGCGACGCCGCGUGGAGGAAGAAGGUUUUCGGAUUGUAAACUCCUGUCGUUAGGGACGAUAAUGACGGUACCUAACAAGAAAGCACCGGCUAACUACGUGCCAGCAGCCGCGGUAAAACGUAGGGUGCAAGCGUUGUCCGGAAUUACUGGGUGUAAAGGGAGCGCAGGCGGGAAGACAAGUUGGAAGUGAAAACCAUGGGCUCAACCCAUGAAUUGCUUUCAAAACUGUUUUUCUUGAGUAGUGCAGAGGUAGAUGGAAUUCCCGGUGUAGCGGUGGAAUGCGUAGAUAUCGGGAGGAACACCAGUGGCGAAGGCGGUCUACUGGGCACCAACUGACGCUGAGGCUCGA